UGGGGAAUUUUCCGCAAUGGGGGCAACCCUGACGGAGCAACGCCGCGUGAGGGAGGACUGUCUGUGGAUUGUAAACCUCUUUUCUCUAGGAAGAAGAACUGACGGUACUAGAGGAAUCAGCAUCGGCUAACUCCGUGCCAGCAGCCGCGGUAAGACGGAGGAUGCAAGCGUUAUCCGGAAUUAUUGGGCGUAAAGCGUCCGUAGGCGGUUAAUUAAGUCAGUUGUUAAAGACUACAGCUCAACUGUGGGAGAGCAACUGAAACUGAUUGACUAGAGUAUGGUAGGGGUAGAGGGAAUUCCUAGUGUAGCGGUGAAAUGCGUAGAUAUUAGGAAGAACACCAGUGGCGAAGGCGCUCUACUGGGCCAAGACUGACGCUGAUGGACGAAAGCUAGGGGAGCGAAAGGGAUUAGAUACCCGCGUAGUCC
rnacentral:rRNA from 1 species